rnacentral:rRNA from 1 species
GAUGAACGCUGGCGGCGUGCCUAAUACAUGCAAGUCGAGCGAACGGACGAGGAGCUUGCUCCUCUGACGUUAGCGGCGGACGGGUGAGUAACACGUGGAUAACCUACCUAUAAGACUGGGAUAACUUCGGGAAACCGGAGCUAAUACCGGAUAAUAUAUUGAACCGCAUGGUUCAAUAGUGAAAGACGGUUUUGCUGUCACUUAUAGAUGGAUCCGCGCCGCAUUAGCUAGUUGGUAAGGUAACGGCUUACCAAGGCAACGAUGCGUAGCCGACCUGAGAGGGUGAUCGGCCACACUGGAACUGAGACACGGUCCAGACUCCUACGGGAGGCAGCAGUAGGGAAUCUUCCGCAAUGGGCGAAAGCCUGACGGAGCAACGCCGCGUGAGUGAUGAAGGUCUUCGGAUCGUAAAACUCUGUUAUUAGGGAAGAACAGAUGUGUAAGUAACUAUGCACGUCUUGACGGUACCUAAUCAGAAAGCCACGGCUAACUACGUG